rnacentral:rRNA from 1 species
CCAGCCCGCUCAGAAACUCGAAGAAGUUGACGGGGCCCGCACAAGCGAGGAGCAUGUGGUUUAAUCGAUGAUACGCGAGGAACCUUACCUGGGCUCAAAUGUAUGUUGACGUAUUCUGAAAGGGAUACUUCUUCGGACAAUAUACAAGGUGCUGCAUGGUUGUCGUCAGCUCGUGCCGUGAGGUGUCGGGUUAAGUCCCAUAACGAGCGCAACCCCUAUCAUUAGUUGCCAUCAGGUCAAGCUGGGGACUCUAAUGAAACUGCCUACGCAAGUAGUGAGGAAGGUGGGGAUGACGUCAAAUCAGCACGGCCCUUACGUCCAGGGCUACACACGUGCUACAAUGGCCGGUACAAAGGGCAGCUACCUGGUGACAGGAUGCUAAUCUCAAAAGCCGGUCUCAGUUCGGAUCGGAGUCUGCAACCCGACUCCGUGAAGCUGGAAUCGCUAGUAAUCGCGCAUCAGCCAUGGCGCGGUGAAUACGUUCCCGGGCCUU